AGCGAUCACAUUGAAGAUGGGCAGCUCGCGUGGAACGAGCCUCUGCGGCCCUCCUGGAGAAGACUAGCCUGACUUGCUGCUUUGUGAGAGGGCGUGCAGAAUAGAACUGGGCCGGGAAUUUAAGGCCAAUGGUUGGGGCACUGCACUGCGGGAAGGUGGCUAGAAACAGCACAAGACACAAAUCAGGACAGAUUCAUGCUGCCCAGAGAGCCCGGCCCAUCAGGGGAAACGUAACAUUCCUCAUGUUAAAUUGGCAAGUAUUUUUUUACAUUCAUAUAGAGAGAACAAUACCUACAUGAGUAGGAUACUACUGUGGUUUACAUUUAGAAUGUCCGAUUCGCACGUGCUCAGAGGUGGGGCUUCGGGAAGGUGACUAGCCGUGCGGACACUGUACUCAGUGGACUCAUCCAUUGAUGAGUUUAUGGUGGAGUGCGCCUUAGAAGCUAGGCCUGUUGGGGAGCGGGUCUUACAGCAGGGAGGGGGAACAUGGCGGUCAGCUUCUUGUCCCCUGUUCCUCCCUUCUCUGCCUACUGGCUGCUAUGGGUUGGCAGCCUCCUCUGCUAGGCCCUUCUGCCAUGCCUGUGUCAGCCUUCCAGCCACCAUGGAAUAAACCUCCUGAAACCAAUGAGUCCUAAUAAACCUCUACCCCUUUAAGAUGUAGGUGUUUUGUUCCAA